ACCUAACUGUUAUUGAUAAUAUGAAUAAAUACCAAUGCGUGGAUAACUCUUUAUCCAAAUGCUUCUCUAAGCAUGUUGCAACGACUUGAUCUUUAAGUCAUAUGGGCUUACCUGAUAGUUAUUGCCUGCAUUCCUUAGUUAAGUCAGACCUACCAUUCACAAGCAGAUGCAAAGCCGUCAUUGGAUCCUUCACCUAACAGUUAUUGGAUCCAACCCCAUCUUUAUCCUG
rnacentral:lncRNA from 1 species